AACGCACCUUGCGCUCUCGGGUUAUUCCUGGGAGCAUGCUUGUUUGAGUGUCGCGUACCUCUCAACCCCCCUUUUUGUAAUGAGAAGGCGUUAGGGCUUGGAUCGUGAUGCGUGCAGAGUUGCCCGCAACUUUGCUGCAUUGAAAUACAACAAGCUGAACUCUUAUACUUUGCGGCUUGACCCGUUGUUGUAAUGCUUCUAACACAAGCUUCAAUGGGAACGCGAAGAGAAGGAGACGAGCUUACCAAAUCAUACUUAGUGCAUUUUGACCUCAAAUCAAGCAGGACUACCCGCUGAACUUAA
rnacentral:misc_RNA from 1 species